GCUCUCGUUUACACGUCGCACCCCCCGGGCAGGCGGCCACUGUACCUCGCUCGUCUAUGCCAUCGAAAUCCACGCCCCCUGACCUGGCUCCACCCCCCGCCGCGUCCCCGCCGUCGCGCGAGUGCGGAUGAACCCGGCGCACGCGGCUCGCGAGGGUUUCGGCGCACAUUUGGAAUUUCGUGGUCCCUUGACCGCGGCGAGACCGGAGGGCGCGGGAGGUACGGCGUCCGGCCGUCGUCUUUUCCAAUGCGGCCGCGCAGGCCGGAGCGCGCGAGGCAACCGCAAGUCGGUGGCAGGCGGCGGCGGCGGCGGAACAGCUUCUUCUUCAGCAGAACAUUACAAGCAUUGGUUUUCAUCCUACAUUACAUCAGACAUCAUCAGAUGUAAUUCGGAAUAGUACUGCCUUGCUGUCUCGGCUUCUAUGGAAGUGUCCCAAUGAAGUGGACUUCUUUGCAGGUUUUAUUACAGUAUGUUGCAAUUUUCCAUAAUAUUCUGAGGUGCCAAUUAUGAUACAUUGUUUUAUAUUUUAUUAUAUAUACACUUUGAAUGAGUGCUUCCACAUGAUCAUUUAAUAUAUCAAUGGCUACAUGUCCCCAGUAUUUGAUGUUAGUAAACAUUUCAUAUGGGCACUGUAUCAGAGUAAAUAUAGGUAUACAUUUGUGAGAGGAACGAAAAAUCCAGUUUAUGUUAUUAUACAGAUUCAUGUCAUUGGUCCGCAAUUCCAUGUCAUGGGCUGAAAAAUGGAAGUAUUAUCUGAGCACACAUUAUACAGGGAAUGCAAAGAGGUACUGGUGAUCUGCCCUAGAUAUGACCACCAAAAAAUCACUUGAUUCUCCUUUAUAGCUGUACCAUUUAUUUUAUGAAUGAGCAUCAAUAAAAGAACUGUGUCUCCUGAGCCGUCCUUUUCUGAUUCUGUGAAAAAGAGAUACAUGUGCAUUUGGUCAAGUAUUAUCUAUUACUCUCUCCGUCCUAUAAUAUAAGAGUGUUUUUGACACUAGCGCUCUUAUAUUAUGGGGCUCUUAUAUUAUGGGACGGAGGGAGUAUAUCAUAUUAACCAAAAAGCACUAUAAAUUGAGCUGAACUUUUAUAUUUGUUAUGUACUCCCUCUGUUCCAAAAUAAGAACUAAAACCAUGACACUUAUUUUGGAACGGAGGGAGUAGUAGUUACUGACAAUGUGUGAAAUGUCUUUAUUUUCCUGUGGUAAAAUGAUGGAAUGUGAUUAUUUUUCAUCGUCCAUUUAUUUAUUAAAUAUACAUGAAACUUGCUUAUACAUCAUUCUUCUUGGACAGACUCUGAGAUCUUACACUGAUAUCCUGUGUAUACUACGAGUUGACAAAUCAUAUCACACCUUGUUUAGAAUGUUUUUUUUCCAAAAUAAGUUUUUCAACUGAUAAUGCUAUAUAAGUUCUUCAUAGAUGAAAAAAAAGUAAAAACAUACAUGUUCUUUCGAGUAUUAACAAUCAAGCUCUUUCAUACUAUGUGGUUUAUAGUUUCAUUCUCAUCUGUUUUAUUUUUUGAUUAAUUAAGCGGGAUGUAUUCUCUGGCUUCGUUAACGAAGGCCAAUUUAUUCUCAUCUAAUAUUAUGUAUUUAUAUGUGUGCUCUCAGGGAUGGAUAGUUUUGUGAUAUCGUGCCUGUAUCCAGAUGAUAUGCACUCCCAUUUUAGCUGCAAUCAGAUUUUUUAACUGUGCAUAUAAUCUCUGACAGAUCUGCAAUCACCAAGGUACCCGCAGAAAUAUCUAUCUACGUACUAUCUAACUGAUCAUGCUGGAGUGGAGCUGCUGCUGGCAUACUUUAGCUUAUUUACGUACUUUCUGAUUCAAAAGGUUCGCUGUUUAUUUUAUCUUUCUAAACUGGCGAUGAUCAAUGCUGAAAAUACUUGACGAGUCUGUAUACAUAUUGCAAGUCAACAGCAUUCAGUUCAUUUUUACUGGCACCACAUGGAGUUUAUAGUUUAGCGAUAUUCCUUGAACACAUGCAUAAAUUUGUUUCAAGUCUGACAGUAGCAGCUGAGCGCCAAAGUCAUUCUCAGCGAGCACCUGGCACCCGUCACCGUUGCCUGGAAAAUUGCCGCCUAUGUUCUCCUGUGGUGCUGGUGAUGCUCCUGCUCUAUGUGUAAGUCAAUUUUGGCAUGGAUCCAGAGUUUCUCCACGUCGCUGUUAUGAUGGCAGGUGUUUUGGACUAGGACUUCUAAAUUUGGCUGAGAUCAGCUCGUAGUGCUUCUCUUUGAAUCUCUCCUCUGUGACUCUGCAAAAAAUGGUCACUGCUAUCUCUCCUGGCUAAAUUGAAAAUGUUCAGGUGGGUUUCGCGCCCCCAUAACCCCCCUCCCCCCUCCCCCCUCUUCUCCCCCACCAAAAAAAACUGACAGUUGAUAGUUCUGUGAGGCAAGUAGUUUUACCUCUAUGGAAGAAGAAAGACACCAGGCACAUUCAAGUUUCUCCAGGCCAUGCAAAAGCCACACAGCAGAGGUAGAGAGCAAGGUGUAGCCAAGGACGGACUUGCCGGCAAGAUUACUACCACCUUGUUGUGUGCUGUCGGCAAGUCAUCCUUGGCUGCAUUCCACUCUCUGCCUCUUUCUGCAUGGCUCUUGCGGCAGCGAACUCUUCACUCCGAUUUCUCAUCUCUCUCAGCUAUUCAGCUAUGGGUGUGCUUCUGGUAUACAUCGAGGGGAGGGUAUUUAUAGGGGCAGCACUGCAACUAGAUCUGGCACGAUAGUGAAAUCUCGUUUUGACUUAAUCUUUUAAAAAGUUAUUGGCAUAACUUUUUCCUUGAGUGAAAAUGAUUACCUGUCCACACAUUGAGGCUUUAUGGAUUUCCAACUUUUAAGAAUAUAUUUGCUGGCUAAAAGGCUGGGAGCUGGCAUCUAUUGAAUUGUUCUGUUAGGUAGGUUAUGUGAAGUAUCUAGGUUAGACUGAUGGAUAGGACUCAGUCUACAGAGGAUUCCAGGGCUUUUGAUUAAAGUGUAUAGUAUCAUGGAGGAAAAACUUAGUGCUGCUAUACUGUAGGGUAGUUUCUGUUUUUCAGCCUGUCCAAAUGGCUUCUCGUGUUGUAUGAUGCAUCAUCGUAUGAUAUUUGAUCCAUGUCUCAAGUUUACCAAGGGAUUUCAUGUGGUUAUGGUAUUUGUGCAGGACAAGACGUGCUUCUGGCUUGGGCAUGCUGUGACAAAUACUAUUAUGCACCCAAUGAAUGGGUACUGUUAGUUUGCUACCCAAAUUUUGACAAUAUCAAGACUGGCCAAAAAUUGGCACCUUUUUGUGAGGUUGGCAAAAAAAAUUGGGAAUCAACCAAUCACUUGCCAAUAUUUGGCAAGUUCAUAGCCAACCAAUCACUAGCCAAAUAAAUAUUGGCAUCAAACCAAUCAUAUGCUCUGAGAAUGCAUUUCUUAUCUUUGUCCUGGUGGUGGGUGUCUUCUUUUUUUUGGGGGGGGGGGCGUGGGGGAUAUCGCGUGUGUUAAUGGAUUUGGCCUGCUUUAAAUAAAAACGUACACAGUUUGUACUAGAGGCUUAAUAAGCACCUCUAGUGGUCAUGAAAGAACCCAAAAAGUAUGGACAACAUUUGCACAUGAUGCAUAUGCCUUACCAGAAAAUUUAGAAUCCAAACUCGAUCAAUACACCAAGAAAUAAGAAAAGACAACCGCACUAUGAGUAGUACCCGGAAGCCACUACUACUAUUUCCGACAAGGAUUAUCUUUUUGUUCUUGACAUCUAGACUUGAUUUGGUCUUGAAUUUUCUUGCCGCGGUAGACAAGUGUUGUAAAAAAUAGCAGAACUUCUCAUGACAAUUGGAGAUGGUUAAGUGUGUCUUAGUGCACUAGCACAUCUCAUGUGCCUAGAGCAUGCAAUAUCCCCUUGUUCAGUCGUAUACUUAAGAAAUAUGUCUUUCUUGCUCCUAUUCUAUCCAUUUAUAUGGCAGGAGUAGAUUUAGAAAUCGUGUCUAUCAAACAGGUUUGAAAUUGAAUAGUGUCUUUGUUAGUUCAAUAUAAUCUGAAAUUUGUACUUACUAUAUUUACUCUCUUUAUAUUCCAUUUGAUGUUCAGAGUAAAGACUAGUUAUUCCUUGCAUUCUUAGUGCGAAAUUUCUUUGUGGGUACUAAUACUGGAGUUCUCUUAAAAUCAUAUACGCUGCAAUGAUGUGGUCAGUGUCGAGUCAUACUCCCUCUGUUCCAAGUUACUUGAAGUUUUAGCUUUGUCCUAAGUCAAACUUUUUAAACUUUGACCAAGUAUACAAAAAAUAUGCUAAUAUCUACAACAUAAAAACGUAUAUUGUAUGAAAAUAUGAUUUAUGACAAAUCUUAUGAAACUAAUUUGGUAUUGUAAAUUUGAGAUAUCUUUUUGCAGACUUGGUUAAACUUAAAGAUGUUUUGACAUAGCAAAGCUAGAACUUCAAAUAACUUGGAACAGAGGGAGUACUUGUCAAGCAUUAAUGCUUGUUAUCUUUCGAGAAAACUGAUAUUUUUGUUAUUGAUCUGCAUUUGGUAGCCCUUGUAUAAUACUAAUGUUGGUUUCAUGAAGUAACCGAAGCUUCAUUUGUGACAUGUCUUGCCAACAAAUCCUGAUUUUGUUUUCUGACAUUAACAGAGUGAUCUCUUUUGUUGUUGGUUCAUGAUGACACAUGCAUCUGGGCAUCUUAUUAUGCUGCAUUACCACAUGAUUUAUUAGCACACAUCAUUCAACUUAAAUCUGUAAAUAAUGACCAGUACAAUUAUUAUUACCUGGUGCAUCAAAAAGUACAUUGGCUGGUAUCGCUGAUUUGUUUGAAUAUUACAGCUACCGACUUCCUUUGUGACUUCUUAUGUAAAAGAGAAAAUCACAUCUAAAUAAUGUACCAUCUGUUCUCUCUGUAUAUUCAAGUGAGUUUCCGUAUAUAUAUUCAAGUACUCUCAGACUCAUGCGAUACUUGUCAUGGAGGGUUGUGGAUUUGUCGUGACCAUGUGUUCUAGACUUUCUAGAUUACAAUAUCAGUGUUAGCAUGAAGCCCAUAUAUUGGAGCCCAAUAAAACCAUGUUCCGUCAUCUAUCAACCAUUCAACUUUGAGGUAAUGAAGGAUGCUCAAUGUGGAACGUGUUUUGCUUCGAAUAGAAAACGUAAUUCUGAUGUCACAAUUAAAACAGUUGAUGCUGACAAGUUUCAUCAUUUUUAUUAUGAUUUUUUUAAAUAAAAGUUAGAUAUAGAGCCUUACUAGUUACUCCGCGUUGUUCCCUUCAGAAAGCUGCAUCAGUCAUUAACUCAUUAUUAUGGUUUAUCGAUCCUGAGCAUUCACCCAUGAUACCUUGCAUCGGGAAAAUGUUUAGUUUUUGUGCUAAUAAUGAGGUAAAGCUCUUGUUAACAUCGUCACCUUUGGGCUUUUAGCCAAUAAAGUAAAGUGCUCUAUUCAAAGGACAUGAACAGGACAACAACACUGAUUACUUGAGGAAUGAAGUUGUCCAUUCUUUUUUGUAUUGAAAAGGGAAUGCGGUGCUUUUGUAACAUGGUUACAUUGCUGAUGCACCUCCUGCUUCCUGUCCUACAUGAUUAAGAUUUUCUUUUGUGUAUACAUAAUCUCUGUGGUACAAUAUUGCAAGUACAAUUUCUGCCGCCAUGUGAGAGCCUCGAGGAAUCUUUUGUCACGCAGUGCGUUCUGUACAUCCUUCGGACUUUCAUUUUCGUCAGGGGGUACCACAAGAAAGCCAAUCUCUUAUCUUAAAAAAAUCAUGUAUUAGCAUAAAAUAAUGGCAAAGGAAUGAUGAUAUCGUCUGAUAUAUACAUAUGGAAUUGUACAGAUCUGAUGUUAAGUGGAGGUUGAGCUCGUAUCCAUGCCUUUUGUACUUAUGUUUUCUGUUCAUGCAUUUCCAUUGCAGAUAGAACAGUAAUAAGCUAUUCUUUUUACUUUCCAUAUAUACAUAUAUAGAGCUGGAAUUGUUUUAUGUCUGAGUAGAGGUUGAACUAGCUUGAGAUGCUAAGAGCUGGCUAGCUAGAGAUGCAUACCUUUUAUGCUUUGCGUACUUACUUAUUCAUGUAUUUCCAUGAUGGAAGUUGAUAGAAAUGCAGGCAUUAGAGUUUUCUCAGCAAUGCUCGAGGGCCAAACACCAGAAGAAGAGAACUAGGUGUAGCCAAGGACAACUUGCCGGCUAACUCUAAAGCUCAGUGAACUCCCAACACCAGGAGCCGGCAAGUCAUCCUUGGCUGCAUCCCGUUCUCUGCCUCUUAGCGUAUGGCAACCCAGCAGAAUCCUCGCCAGUAUACGCUCUACAGGCAAUCCAAGUACUUACUACUACAAGUUGAUGCAGAAAGUUAGGCGGCAGGGAGCCGCCAUGACAACACCAGAUCGAAUCAAUAAGUCAGCUGGUGAAAAUUGAAUGCUGGUGUGCUUCUGAGGCAUCUGAGCUAAUGGGUUCGUGCAGUGAUCUGGUGCCUAUCGCAUUGGGGAACACAAAGCUAGUUGAUGUCCACAUGCACUUGUGAGUUGUGAGUGGCUCAGGUAUUUUGACCUGAAAAAGUGGCUCAACCAUGAGAAUGAGCUUUCUGUUGGAAUAAUCAUAAAUGAAAAAUGUGUACAUAAAUGCAUAUUCCUUGUUAAAGAUUUAGGUCGACACACUACUUUUUGGAGAAAAAGAUUUGUUUUGCCAUGUGCACGGCAGAAAGUCAA